ACAGAGAUAUUUUUUUCUAUUCCAGCUUUAUCGGAUACAGGUGCUGGAUGCCAUUCGUCAGCUGGUGGCGGGAGGAGGGGGGUUAAAUCCCGCGAGCGCGCGCACCCCCUCGCCCUUAGCUGCCAGCAAUUAGGGGGGCCCUCUCAGGGGGCCCCCGGUGAUAAAGCGAGGAGGAAGGGGGGACGACCUCCAGUCCUCAGGCGGCUUACGGGCUGGGCCACACACGUGCUACAAUGGUGGUGACAGUGGGCAACGAGCACGCGAGUGUGAGCUAAUCUCCAAAAGCCAUCUCAGUUCGGAGGCACUCUGCAACUCGAGUGCAUGAAGUUGGAAUCGCUAGUAACCGCGGAUCAGAAUG
rnacentral:rRNA from 1 species